GCUCAGCCACUGGAAACUGCAGCAGCUCCGCCAAUGAGAAGCCACUGCCGCCCUGAACUCUCACUCUCCUCCGAUGAUCUUCCACUUAGGACAACCCCUCUCAACUUCCCUUUUUCUCUACAAAGGCAAGCUGGGGCCCCACUUUUGUUCCCUGGAUUUGCCUAUGGUCCGUCAUAACUUGCAUUUCCUGAGUUGCAAUUCCUCUGGCUAUUCCCGAAUAAACUGAGGGAGUUGGUGUUAAGAUGGCAGCAUAGGCGGACUCUGAACUCACCUCCUCCCGCGGACACAACCAAUUUACAACUUCUCUUGGAACAAUUACCCCCGAGAGAGAACCCAAUAAACUAAUUUUGCUGGUAAGAUAACUGGCAAUUUUUUAAAAAGCUGACAGUACCGGUGUAACCGUUAACCCGGGUCCUAGAUAAAAGGCCGGAGAGCCAGGCUCCAGCCUGAGUGAGCCUUCCAUCCUCUAGGAACUGGAUGAGAGUUUGUCACUAACUUCGGCCACUUGGACGAGAGGAAGAUGACUACACGGCAUCCAAAGGAGAGCGCUGGAGUUGAGGAUAACUGGCUUAACUGAGACUUCGGGAGACUUCGCUUUGCCUUCCUAGACUGUUUCUCCCGCAAGUAAAAUGGCGAUGACCACAGGGGUGCGCGGGCAGCAGGAAGCCAAACUUAGAUGGCGCUCACGGAUGGUGGUGUGUAUGUUGCUGAGCCUAAGCCCAGGGAAUUUAGCUCCGUCGGGGAAGGAAAUAGAAAAGCUGAAAGGCAAGCCUGACACGCCAACCGGAAAGGCCUUCGCCGCUUGGACCCGGCGCGCAGAGGGGCGGGACCUGGAAGCCACCCGCGGAAGCAGCUGCAGGGGCUUCUGGAGAAUGUGGUUCUUCCGGCGAAUGGGCAGGGGAGACAGAGACUUCGCUCCGGAACCACAUCUUGUUUUAUGCAUAGGUGUUUUAUGAAAAGAGAGGGUAGCCGUCAUUGAAAUAGCCAUUGCGUUGGUCCUGGCUUCUUGGAAACAGGAUGGGCGUUUACAAGUCAGGUUCGGAAGUCACCCCAGGCAGCAGAAAUCCAUCUUGAGAUGAAAUACCUUCUACCUGGCCCUCUGGCAGAAUUUCAAGGCAAACGCUGGGCUGGCUCUGGGGCCAUGACAUUGCCUGAUCCUUCUGCCUGGGGAGAGCAGGACCGGGAGGAGAUUUUGCCUUUGGAGAACAGGGAAGAUAUGGAAAGCAUGAAGAAAUUGACUCAGAAUCCUAAGGCCAAAGAUGCCAGUUACAUUAAGGAAUGUGGCAGUGGUCUUCACAGAGGCAAAUGGAAGAGACUGAGCUCUGAGCAGAGGAACCUAUACAAAGAAGUGAUGCUGGAGAAUUACUGGAAUCUGCUCUCGUCGGCAGAACCAAAGCCAGAAAUCUACCCCUGUUCCUGCUGGCAUUCUCUUGUCAGCAAUUCCUCAGCCAGCAUGUGCUUCAGAUCUUCCCUGGCUCAUGUGUGGAAAAUCACUUCCAUCCAGAGGAUUCUGGCCCGGAGCCUCAGGAGCAGCAUUAUUCUGCUCAGAGUUGCUGGAGUGAAUACACGGAAGGGCAAGCGAGGGAAGGCGGCUCCAAAGCCUUGUGUGCGGGGACAGAGGGGAGAAAGACCUCAAGCUCAUUCUCUGGCCCCCCCAAGGACCGUCAGCAAGUCCUAGAGAAGUCACCACAGUGGUAGAAAUAGAGUCCAGUUCAGCCCAAAGAGUAAACCCUGUGCAACCAGACAAAGAAUUGAAGGAAUCAGAAAUCUUGAGAUCUGGAGCAGCCAACUGUAGAGAGCAUGAACUAGACUGUAGCCCGAAAUCAAACUUCGUUACCGACCAGACGACCCCCUUCAAGGAGAAACCCUGUUUGCAGGGAGCGUGGGUGAGGCUUUAAAGAUAAGGCAGCCCUCAUCAGACACCACUGGACACAGUUAGUGGAGAAGCCCUAUGUGUGCAGUGACUGUGGCCAAGGCUUCAGCCUGAUGUCAAUCCUUAUUAACCCCCAGGGGACACACUCAGGGGAGAAGCCAUAUGUGUGCAAGGAGUGUGAGCGAAGCCUUAGUCAGAAGUCCAACCUCAACACAUGAGAAAAACAGAUUCAGAAAAGUCUUAUUUGUGCAAGGAGUGUGGGCGAGGCUUUAGCCAGAAGUCAGACCUUAUCAAACAUGAGAGGAUACAUUCAGACUAGAAGCCCUAUAUUUGCAGGGAGUGUGGGCGAGGCUCUUGUGAUCUUGAGAUUCUUGUGAGAAGGCGAGUCAGCCUUCUUCACAUGCCACAGGGAGAAUCCUUCUGUGGGAUACUGUGGAGCUCUGCCCAGUUAACCUUAUCAGGGCCAGCGCCCACGCCGCUCCAGAUAACUGCUGCUGAUGGCUGCAGAGCUGACUUCCUCACUAGGACUCGUUCUCAGCCACGGGGAACUGCACCUUCCCAAGGGCUGGCUGGCUCCUGGCCAUUGAAUGAGUGAUAUGGGUAGACAAAACUCCCCUUGACUCAGUUGGGACAACUCCCAAGGUUCAUCCCAGAUCCAGAGGUGCCCGUCGGACUGAAUGAUCUCUCGUUUGCAAAUACAUUGCAGGUCAGCUUCUUCCUCUGCCCAGCCCUGCCCUCAUUCCCCAAUAAACCACUCAAUUCUUCAUCUCACUGUCUCUCCAGGGAAUCCAACCUAAGACAUCUUAAGUUGACAGGGAGUGUGGACAAGGCUUUGGCUAUAAGUCACCCCUCAACAAACCCCAGAGUACAUAGCAUAGAAGCUCUGUGUGUGUGUGGAGAACGGGCAAGGCCUUAGGAAAAGCACACCUCAGUGUACAUCAGAGAACAGGUUUUUUGGGAGGAAGGGAGGGAGACUGUGAGAUGCGUUAGUCAUACCUCAUCUUGCAGCAGAGGACAUACCCAGGUGAGUAGACCCGUGGGGCAAGGUGUGUGGGUGGAGCUUUAUCCUGAUGGCCCCCUCAACAGAUGAAGAGGACAGAGUCUUGCCACCACAAACCACUACCUCAUGCACCUCUGAGGGGGUUUCAGAAGUCUUGACCACCCCCAUACUCUGUAUGAGUGUGAAAAUGGCACUAAUGACUACAUAGACAUGCUUUUCACUUUUUGUAAUCAGAUGGAAUAAAAAAGUAGAAAGCUUUAUUUAAGUAAUCUAAGAGUGAUCAACUUGUUUUAUUUUCAUACACCAGUUCUUUCCCAUGUUUUCUUGUCCUUUGUUCUAGUAAAAUCUUUACUGAGCUCAGGCUUUGUACCUUAGUCUCUCAUUUGUCUGGAAAGGAAUUCACAUUCACAACCCAGAUUUCCUCCAUUAAUUCAACUUUUAAGAAAAAAUAAGUCUCAAAUCAAUCUAACAGGUUUGCUGGGCAUCGGAGCCUUUGCAUGAGGAGGAUGAUUUAAGUUCUGGAGACAGGCCAGCUGAAGGGAGGGAACUUCCCAGGUCUCCAGGGGCUGGGUUGCCUCUUCUCCUACCUGAUCCCUCCCUUUGACUUCUGUGCAAGCUCCCUUCCCUGGGUUUUCUCCUUCCUUCUCAUCUCUUUCAGAUCUCUGCUGAAUCCUCGACCCCAUCAAGCAUUGCUGUUCCUCAGUGGUCUGUUCACGUCCUCCAGCUCCAGGGACCCUUUAAGCAUGCUCCCUCUGCAGCCUUCCAGAUUCCAGGCCGUGAAGUCAGCUUUCCAGUGGGUCCUGAGUCAGCUCUGGCGAGGGCAGGUGUGAGCCCCAAGUGUGGGCCCCGCCCUCGCCCCCGUCUCCCCUCGUGCUCCUUCGCCAGAGCUACCCCUGUGACACCAACGCUUUGCUUCUGGUCUGAACUGGAAGCCAGAGAGGGACGGGUGUAUGUGGGUAGGCCCUCUACAUUCCGGAUGACCCCAAGGCCUUGCCCAUGCCUACCAUUGGGAGAGAAAAUGCAAACAAGAAAACCAGCACCUUCCUUUGGAAAAACGGAUUUUCUGCUGAAUGUAUUGGCACGGAAAUUAUCUGGAGGUUGAAGAUCUGGAAGAGACAGUGCAGGGAAUCUGAGAAAACGUAAGAGAAAGAGAUGGUGUGAUGACCAGCACUGAGACUGGAAUAAAUUUGGGAAGCAGGAAGUGUUGCAAUUGCCCUGGCAAAAUUUACAGCACAACUAUGGCAAGAGUGUGGACUGAAAGAGAAGAUGGACUCUGUAGGGGUUGUCUUCAAAGCACUUGGUGGUUGCCUGGAUGCAGAAGAUAAGGGAGAAUUUAAAAGGACUCCCACAAACACAGCUUUCUAACAGUAGAAACAUUUGCAAAGGAGAAAAAGUUCUCAUCACUCCAAGAAUCCAAGCGGAAAGCCAACAUCAUCCUAUCUGUGUUUACCAUAAGAAUAUUUCCUUCUCUAGAGGUAGGUUGAGCUGGCUAUCCUCUUUCCGCAUCUGAGUCUUGCAUGUGCUGACCCGUGUGGUAGAAUAUAUUUGUGUGUAUGUGGGAUGGUGCCACUUAUCAGCAUAUUGUCUCAGCUCCAAAUUCACCUUUUGUUGCCUAUUUGUGAAAAUGGACCUGGGCCCUUUAAAUAUUUGCCUGGUGGUGUGAGAUUCAUCAGUAGCGAGCUCUGGAGCCACGUGACAGGAGGAAGGGGUCCUCUUUCCUGGUUCAGGUGGCUCUUUCACUAGGCUCCUCAGCCAGCGCAGUUUUCUCCCAUGCUAAAUGCCUGCAGGACACAGCUUUCUCCACUGAUUGGCACCCUAUAUUUUCUCCAGCUGUCCACCCGGGCACUGGUGGCUUAGUCGGGAGCGCAAACAGUACAAGCCUGUGCCCCAGCCCAGCUCACUGCUCCUGCACCCCCUCUUCAGCCCCACAGGCAUACACCCUGGGGCCCCACUGGACUGGCUCUCUGGCAAGCAGAUCACCUGGCCUUCAUCCCUGGCAGAGGCUCAGAGCCUCCCCAGCCUGGUUGCUGCUCCCACACUUUCUCCUUGGCUCUCUGUGCAUGCACACCAGGGCCCCAGCAGCCACUCUGAGCUGCCCCAGUCCAGGCCGUGCACAGAAGUACACUAGGUUCUUGCAGCUUCUCAGCCUCCUUUUCCAGCAGCGCCUCCAGCAGUGCCUUGACCUCCUCUGCUCACUUGCCCUUCAGUCUCAGCUCGCUUGUCCCCCCAGAGGUUUAUUUGCUGCGGCCCUCCAGACACAGGCACUGUGUGGUCCAGGCUUUGUGUCAGCAUCAACACCCUGGCCCUCUGUGCCCAUCCAGCUCCCUCUGUGCACCUGGCUACCAGCUUUGGUUGCCUGCACUCCAGAGGGUUAUUCCUGCUUGCUGGUGAUGGUAGACCUGCUCUGGCCCGUGCAAAUCCCCCUUACCCUGACUUUUCCACCAUCCAGUGGGCUGUAGCAACUUCUCCAGUGAGGGCUGAACCCCAGCCUUGGGGAGGGAACCUUCCUUCCAGCUUUAUACUUCCUUAGCACUCUCCCUCAGCUGAGGGUUUCAUUCGAUAUUUACAGUUGCUCCCCUAUCAUUGCAUAAUAAUUCUUUAUGUUAAAUUUCCCAUUUAAAUUACUGUCUGGUUUCUGUCUCCUCAUUGGACCCAGAUUGACAGAGAUGUGAAUGUGCAUGUGUGCAGUUUUUAUUUGAAGGCAAAGAGGUGAAUUUUUGACUGCAUCUAUUCAGUGAACACAGCAAUAAGCCAAAGAAACAAUGCAAGUCAAAGUUAUUAUCAGCACCAGCUGGGGCUAUGGCCCUGAACCCAGACCCAGAAAUAUGAUGGUCUACAUCUGGGAAUGGCAAACUACAGAUCUGUCCUGCCACCUCUUUUUGUAUGGCCUGUGAACUAAGUAUAGUUUUUACAUUUUAAAUGGUUGAAAAGAAUGAAAAGAAUAAUGCUUUGUGAUACAUUUGUGUUCAUAAAUAAAGUUAUAUUUGUAACACAGCCA